rnacentral:rRNA from 1 species
UACGUAGGGCGCAAGCGUUGUCCGGAAUUAUUGGGCGUAAAGAGCUCGUAGGUGGCGUGUUCGCGUCUGCCGUGAAAGCCCAUGGCUUAACUGUGGGUCUGCGGUGGAUACGGGCAGGCUGGAGGCUGGUAGGGGCAAGCGGAAUUCCUGGUGGUAGCGGUGAAAUGCGCAGAUAUCAGGAGGACACCGGUGGCGAAGGCGGCUUGCUGGGCCAGUUCUGACGCUGAGGAGCGAAAGCGUGGGGGAGCGAACAGG